UGGGGAUUACUAAUUGGUAGAGCACCUGCUUUGCAAGCAGGGGGUUAGCGGUUCGAGUCCGCUAUUCUCCAU
rnacentral:tRNA from 1 species